CUCUCCUGUACUAUGUCUGCAGUCUCUGACCCUCUCCUGUACUAUGUCUGCAGUCUCUGACCAUCUCCUGUAGUAUCUCUGCAGUCUCCGACCCUCUCCUGUACUAUCUCUGCGGUCUCUGCCCAAUUCUGGCAUCACACUCUAUGCA